rnacentral:rRNA from 2 species
ACGUCUGGUUCAGGGUUGUUAAAGAGAUCUACUCUAGUCGAGAUAAACAUAGAAGAUCAUCGUAAGAUAGAAGAUAUAUGACAUGAUAUAUCUAUCUAUACUUCUAUGUAUACGACGACUAAUUUGUCAAACGGUAUUCGCGUCAAAACGAUAGACGGACGAUUCCCGUUUUAGUGAAGAAUUUGAACGAUAGCAAAAUAUAAUAAUAACGUACAUAUGGUAAAUAUGUAUUAUUGUUAUUAUUAUACCGAAUAUAAUAUAUGAUGAUGUGUGCGUAUCUAUGCUAGUGAUGUUGUUAUUACGACGAUCAUCGUUAAUGCUGAUUAUCAAUGGGUAUCAUUGAAAAUCAUGAAUAAUAGAUAAAUCUAUGAAAAAAUAAAAAAACAAUACAUUGACGAUGGAUGACAUGUGUUAUAGAGUAAUAACGCGACUAUUAACACACUAAACAUAGAUACAAUGCAUGUUAAGCGCACAUAAUUCUCAUCACUAUUAUUAUAUUUGAUCACUUGUAAAACGCAACCUGAACUCAGACGUGAUUACCCGCUGAACUUAGCAUAUCAUUUAGCGGAGGAAAAGAAACUAA